CCCGUGAAGAAGCGGGGAUAAACUUAUAAGACGAGAAGACCCUAUGGAGCUUUAAACUAAACUACACUUGCUUUUAUAUAUAAACAUUUUCAGAAUGAUUAAUACUUAUCUUAGCUUCAUGAUUUUUAGUUUUAGGUUGGGGUGACCGCGGAGUAAAAUAAAACCUCCACNNUGAAAGGGAUUUUGAACCCUGAGCAAUGAGUCACGACUCUAUGCACCAAUAAAUUGACAUCAAUUGACCCAAUACUU
rnacentral:rRNA from 1 species